GUUCCUUCCUGCAUUUAGUGGCAGGGUUUAUAGAGGCAGCGAUGGUUACUCCUCCUGUUGUUCGGUUUGGUCGGGGCCGGCGGGGCGUCCUCCAGGGAUCCGGGCGGCUGUUAUCGCCCGUGUGCGUAAUGGCUGCGGUCGUUUCCCUCCCGCGGAUCAUCCCACAGUAAUGGAAGAGGUUGUUGUCCGCGAUGAAUUGCCUGUUGUUCAUUUAAGGUGUCGUUGCCGCCGUGCGGUUCGCCGGCCGUUGCGUUCUGGACGGGUUGGUAAGUUCAUUCAGCCUACUCGAGUAUUUGCAAGCUUAUUUAGUAUGUUUACGUAUUGGUUUACUCGGAGUGUGGUCGCUUCAUUUGGUUGCUUUUUUUUUGUACAUGGUCAAUGUUUGGUUCCCCAUCGGCGGUCUUGAUCGCCGCCGUCAAGAGAUUUCUUUAGGGAAGUGGCCUGUUGACUCUACGUAAGGCAAGUGCGUUGGCUUCUUGUUAUGCAUGCGACUGUCUCUGUCUGCUUGCGUACGUUUCUUUUUCUGCCUUGCUUACUACACUCGCUUCUUUCUUCUCUUCCUUUUUGUGAAGGCUACACUCUUACUGCUGAUUGUUCUUGUGCAUUUGAUGGUCUCAUGCCUGCUGCUCCGCUCGCCGGCGUGGGAUCUGCUUCCUCGGUGGCCCAGACGAUUCAUGGGUCGUCUGGUUAUCCUUUUUCUCUUCCUGCUGAUGUUCACCUUGAUCAUCGCUUGGUGGGUGCUCCGUCUGUUGUUAAUCGUUCCAAGGGUGUGCCUUUGCGUGUGGCCGGUGCUUUCGGUCGGCCUACUCCUCUUGGUGAGUUUAGGUUCUGAAACAUGCAUCUGCCACUGCCUUUCUUCUUUUCUUUUUUUGUUUGUGUUGGAUAUGGUUCUAAUUUGUAUAUGUGGCUGUUUUUUGAGUGAUGCCUACUCCUGUCCUGCAAUACUUUCGUAAGCGGGCGCUGAUGCGGAUUUGCAUGCGGGGAUCUCCUUUGCAUGCCUUUUUUUUUGCUUACGAUCCAGCGCGCCUUUUGUGUGUCCUUGUUUUAGAGGGGUUUUUUUGAGUAGUUUGGAUUGCUUAUCAUAUAUAUGUCACAUGGUGUUGUUUUAAGGGGUUCCAUAUAUAUAUUUUUAAUCCUGACUUGCAUGGCGGUUAGACGGUGUUGGUCUUCACGAUGGUUCUUGCGCCGCCGUGUGCAUCGACGCUUCUGGGCGCCGCUUUGCAGAUCGAUGCUUCUGAUCGCCACUUUGCAUGAUACUUCUGGUAGGGUUUGCCAUCUCCGAUUCGCUUCGCCACACGAAGCGGUGUUCUUCUUUCUUGGUGGGUAGGUCAUGGUGGUUCUUGCCGAAGUGGUGUCUGCCGCCGGGGCCGUCCAUACCUCGUCGGAGCCCCAACUGCCAGGAUGCAAUUCAUCUCUCGGCGCCGGUACAAUCUCCCCUACGCGGUCGAGUUGGCGGCGCACGCAUGAGAUAUCACCGACUACUGGUGGGAGCCAUCACCGACGACUUGCAGGAGGUGCAUGCGGAGGGCCUGAUAUGGUGGGUUUCAGUGCAGCAAUCUGGCCGAUGCUGCUAUCCUUAGCCGUUGGUCGCUGACUCUGCCGCAAACCCCUACGCCACCGCAAACAUGCCCAUGGCCGUCCCCGUUGGUGACGACUUCUCGCGGUUUGGCAGGGCAGCGGAGGCUACGAUAGGAGGGUUAGAGGUGGCGGUGGCGGUUGAGAGGCUAAAUCCAGGUUAAUGUCACGUCGCUCAAUCCAUUUAUUUUUUCCGCGCUGGUGGCUUCCGCUCUGGUGGUAGAGGAAGCAGGAAAGGGAGGGAUGGUUUGGGCCGGGCAUGCCUUAUAAUGUAUCUGUGCAGAUUAUAAUAUUUCCAUCAAUGACCAAAAUUAUUAUGCUCUUGAAGUUACAAAGGAAAGACUGUUCACAGCCAGAGAAAAUGCACAAGCAAAGCAAUGGCGAUUCAAUAUGGCCCGUCAGCAAGUAGCUACGCAGCAAAACAAGUUUACAAGACAAACAAUGAUUCUAGCAGCAAUGUGCAACAAUUUUUUUGAUAUAUUGCCACUCCGUAUGUACCCUCAGCGCCCAGGCAGCGAUGAUCCUAUCAUCACGUACACAGGCGCGCAUCCUCCUGUUGGACGUCUGUAAGAAUUUGCAAAAGCUCUGUACCACUUCAUCACCGGCGCCAAUCCUACAGGAGGAUACACCAGGAUGAUCUAAUCCAUCACAGACUGCUUCUAGCUUACUUAUAUGGCGUGGUUGUGUGGCUUACUUCUACAGCGUGGUUGUGUGGCUUACUUCUACAGCGUGGUUGUGUCUCUAUAUACAGUUCACCACAUAGAGUGGACUGCAUAUAAUUUGAAUAAUUAGUUUAUCUUAGAAGCGUGCCACUUCUAAAUAGUCUGUUUGUAUCCACAGAUUUGCAAGAUUUUAAUAAAUUCACAUCUCUAGUGUCUUCAAUAGCUCUAUAUAUCCGUCUGACUUUCUUGAAUUAAAAAGUAAAUGAGUAUGCAUUGAUUUAUUCUUAAAUCAAUAGACUACAUAUAUUCAUAAGUAAUCACCAAGCGCGGCGUGCUGCCGCGCGGGUUAGGCUAGUACGAACGAGGCGACAGAGGACAUCGAGCUCUCCUCCAGCGACUCGGACUAUGAAGGCGGUGGUAGCGGAGCAGGUUAGGUGAUGCCAGCGAUGAGGGCCAUGGCGGUAUGAUUGGAGGUUUACAGAAUCAGACUGGGAGAGGUUGGAGAACGAGAGCGAUAGUGAUAGCAAGUAAUUUUAGUAAGUUUGUAUGCAAUCUAGUCCAAAUUUUGUUCCCUUAAGUUAUCUAAAGUAUUUAUGUAAAAUAUUUUGAACCAAGUUUGAUGUAGUAGUUUGAACCAAAUUUGCACCGAACAUUUGAUGUAGUAGUUUGAACCAAGUUUGAUGUAGUAGUUUGAUGUAGUCCCUUGUUUUCAGAAACCACAAAUGUAAACUAGAGCCAAGCAUCAUCCGUAAUUUCAGACUGUUGGGCUGGUUAUGUAAUACAAUCAUCCUAUCUCGGCACAUGGCACACCUUUCUCACGCUCCUCACCUGCCCUAUCUCGGCAUGAGCCGCCGGCUGGAUCUGACCUCUUCAUCAUGGGGUUCAUGCAGGCAUAGAUAGAAAGAAAGCCGAUGGGGGCUGGACACUGUCACCAGCAUAUUUUCUUUAGUAUGAGCAGAUAUGUUAAUUUCUAUAGGUGUGAAAAAAGGGAAUAUAGUUCUUAGAACUUUCUAUAAAAUUCAGACAAGCCAGGCACAUGGUAAUCGUAUGGGCUAAACUAAGAAUGGUCUUUUAGAAUUUGAUAUGUUGUUCUAAAGAAAUUACAGGCUGGUUAAAUGUAUUAGUACAGAUGUUGAUCAAGUCUAAAAGGCCUCGCGUCGUGGCCUUAGGAACCACUCCAAAUCCCAUGACUUAAAUAUGAUGAUCUUGUACUUUU